rnacentral:tRNA from 2 species
GGGCGGCUAGCUCAGUUGGUUAGAGCGCUACAUUGACAUUGUAGAGGUCACAAGUUCGAAUCUUGUGUCGCCCACCA